rnacentral:rRNA from 1 species
UACAGAGACUGCGAGCGUUAUUCGGAUUCACUGGGCGUAAAGGGUGCGCAGGCGGCCGUGUGUGUGAGGCGUGAAAGCCCGGGGCUUAACCCCGAAAUUGCACCUCAAACUACACGGCUAGAGCAUUGGAGAGGGUAGCGGAAUUCACGGUGUAGCAGUGAAAUGCGUAGAUAUCGUGAGGAACACCAGAGGCGAAGGCGGCUACCUGGACAAUUGCUGACGCUCAGGCACGAAAGCGUGGGGAGCAAAAGGG